UUGCCAGAGAUAGCUUCAGGACUCACAUGGGAGCAAGAGUGUCAGCACUGUAAAUAAUCCCCAGGGGAUCCUGGCUAUGGAAGGGAAGAAACUAGGUGCUGAUCAAGUAAGAAGGGCUGAGACCUGGAAAGGGGAUGGGGACAUGUUUUUGGUGGAAGAAAUAGAAUUUCCUUAAGAUUGUGAGGUUCUCUGAAGAAGGUAUUUUUACCACUUUUUUAUCUUAAAUGCUGUUACUCACUGGGCUAUGAACAACCCCACUGCUGACAUCUAAGCUGAGAACACAGCAGCAUUGCUACCAUCAACUGUACCCCAGCACAGGAAGCAGCAAGUGGCCAUUCAGUACAUCAGGUCGGCUCAAUAUUUGGAGAAUUCAUUGCCUGUGCUUCCAGAAGAAACAUGACUCAGAUACAUGUGACCAAGAGCAUCUGCAUAGGAAUUGGAGGCAGAUGUUUGCUAGCAGGAAAAGCACACACUUUAGAAGCAACGAGCUCCAUUGAAAAGGUCUGAGCUUGUUGUGCCCAGCAGUAGCCUCCUGUCAGUGAGCAAAGAUCAUGUCCAAUGGAGUCAUCAAAGACAGCACUUCUUGGGUACCCAGUCAAGGCAAAUGCAGAAGGACAAAGCAACAUAAUUCAAAUGGAUGGAAUUAUAGAGACUGAGACUUCCAAAGUGGCCAACAGAAGGCAAGCAUGUCUCUUCCAGCGCUCUCAAUACAGUCUGCAUGCUUCUGUCUUUGAAAGGAUUUUCAUAUCACAACAGCAGCUUUGGAAUUUGGAAUGCUGGGAUAAAAAGGGAAGAUUCUUUGGAAAAAGCCACCAAUGAGGACACCAGGCAUUUAUCAUGUGCCAUCAGACAUCAGCACGGAGGGACAAAAAUUCCACUGCUUCUACAUGGCCUCAUGCUGAGCAAGAAUUCAAAACAAGCCACCUGAGUGAGGAUGAGAGGGAGCCACAGGUCAAGUGGAGAAGCAGUCACAGCCAUGCCUUGCCAGCACUGUUCCAUGCCACUCCUAGAGAAAAAGUAUCUGAGGCAGACUGACCCGGACCUGUCUCUGACAUGGUGGGAUGUGAAAGCAGGAACACAUACAGAAGGGUAGCAUGCUGCCUGGCACCACAGCUGCAUGUCUGGAGGAUGAAGGAGCAAGCACAGACCCUCUGCUAAAUAAAAGCCUUGCAGCUUUACAAAGCUCACAUUCUUCAUUUGAAGUCUGGCUGUCUCAUAUGAGAUAAAUACCUGUACAUCAGCUGAAGUGAGGCCUACAUUUAAAGCCCACAAACACAAAGAAGAUUUCUAAUUAAGCAUUUCUCUUGCUGAACCAGGCCUCUUGCUUGCAAGGAAGGAAUCUGUUGGGGGCAGGCAGUGGGCACCUUGCUGCCGAACUUACUGAGGGCUGCUUGUCUGCAAAUAGCAAAGGGAUGUGCCUUGGAGGCAGCCUGUGGACAGGCACAGAAAAGGAAAAGCAGAGGAGACAGAAGAGAAGCAGGUAUUUGAAGCUUACAGAGUACUGUGGACUAAAAAAACAGCAGUAAAUAGGAGGCAGGAUGACGAGGUGAAGGGACAGGAGCUGUCCAGGGCCACCAACUAGAGCAGUGCACAGGAGGCCCCAGCCAAGGGCUGAAACA